AUUGAACGCUGGCGGCAGGCCUAACACAUGCAAGUCGAGCGGAGCGGCGGACGGGUGAGUAAUGCCUAGGAGUCUGCCUGGUAGUGGGGGAUAACUUCCGGAAACGGGCACUAAUACCGACUACUAUCGGCUGAGCCUAGGUCGGAUUCGCUAGUUGGUGGGGGAAAGGCCUACCAAGGCGACGAUCCGUAACUGGUCUGAGAGGAGGAUCAGUCACACUGGAACUGAGACACGGUCCAGACUCCUACGGUAGGCAGCAGUGGGGAAUAUUGGACAAUGGGCGAAAGCCUGAUCCAGCCAUGCCGCGUGUGUGAAGAAGGUCUUCGGAUUGUAAAGCACUUUAAGUUGGGAGGCGUUACCAACAGAAUAAGCACCGGCUAACUCCGUGCCAGCAGCCGCGGUAAUAC
rnacentral:rRNA from 1 species